rnacentral:rRNA from 1 species
AGAGUUUGAUCCUGGCUCAGAUUGAACGCUGGCGGCAUGCCUUACACAUGCAAGUCGAACGGCAGCGCGGGCUUCGGCCUGGCGGCGAGUGGCGAACGGGUGAGUAAUACAUCGGAACGUGCCCUGUCGUGGGGGAUAACUAGUCGAAAGAUUAGCUAAUACCGCAUACGACCUGAGGGUGAAAGCGGGGGACCGGUAACGGCCUCGCGCGAUAGGAGCGGCCGAUGUCUGAUUAGCUAGUUGGUGGGGUAAAGGCCUACCAAGGCGACGAUCAGUAGCUGGUCUGAGAGGACGAUCAGCCACACUGGGACUGAGACACGGCCCAGACUCCUACGGGAGGCAGCAGUGGGGAAUUUUGGACAAUGGGGGCAACCCUGAUCCAGCAAUGCCGCGUGUGUGAAGAAGGCCUUCGGGUUGUAAAGCACUUUUGUCCGGAAAGAAAUGGCCCUGGCUAAUACCCGGGGUCGAUGACGGUACCGGAAGAAUAAGCACCGGCUAACUACGUGCCAGCAGCCGCGGUAAUACGUAGGGUGCGAGCGUUAAUCGGAAUUACUGGGCGUAAAGCGUGCGCAGGCGGUUUGAUAAGACAGGCGUGAAAUCCCCGGGCUCAACCUGGGAAUGGCGCUUGUGACUGUCAGGCUAGAGUGCGUCAGAGGGGGGUAGAAUUCCACGUGUAGCAGUGAAAUGCGUAGAGAU